rnacentral:rRNA from 1 species
AUAUACAUAUUAAUAUAUCUCUUCCAACCCCUAUUAUUGUGAACUUUUGGUGUAAGUAAAGCUAGUGCCCCUAUUCAAAUAGGGGCAUUAGAUCUUAUAAACCAAAUUUUUCGUAUACACUUUUAUAUGUAUGUAAUGUGCAUGAUAUACAUAAAUAUAAACAACUUUCAGCAACGGAUCUCUUGGCUCUCGCAUCGAUGAAGAACGCAGCGAAAUGCGAUAAGUAAUGUGAAUUGCAGAAUUCAGUGAAUCAUCGAAUCUUUGAACGCACCUUGCACCUCUUGGUAUUCUGAGAGGUACACCUGUUUGAGUGUCAUUAAUUACUACUCCAUACAAAUCCUUUAUAAAAGGAGAUGUAGUGGGAUUUGGGAGAUUGCAGCUCAUAACUGCUCUCCUUAAAUAAAUUAGCAGGGAUUAUUAUCAGAGAUCCUUUUCGGUUGAUGUGAUAGUUAUCUCCUCUCAACCUUUCUUUGUAUAUUCCUAUCUGCUUCAAAUAGUCUUUUGUAAA